AGCGGCAGGCCUAACACAUGCAAGUCGAGGGGUAACAGGAAGUGCUUGCACUUCGCUGACGACCGGCGCACGGGUGAGUACCGCGUAUACAAUCUGCCUCAUACUAGGGGAUAGCCCGAAGAAAUUUGGAUUAAUACCCUAUAGUAUCUUUUUAAGGCAUCUUAUUAAGAUUAAAGGUUACGGUAUGAGAUGAGUAUGCGUUCUAUUAGCUAGUAGGUGUGGUAACGGCACACCUAGGCUACGAUAGAUAGGGGCCCUGAGAGGGGGAUCCCCCACACUGGUACUGAGACACGGACCAGACUCCUACGGGAGGCAGCAGUGAGGAAUAUUGGACAAUGGGCGAAAGCCUGAUCCAGCCAUGCCGCGUGCAGGAUGACUGCCCUAUGGGUUGUAAACUGCUUUUAUAUAGGAAGAAAAACUUUCUCGUGAGAAAGCUUGACGGUACUAUAAGAAUAAGGAUCGGCUAACUCCGUGCCAGCAGCCGCGGUAAUACGGAGGAUCCAAGCGUUAUCCGGAAUCAUUGGGUUUAAAGGGUCCGUAGGUGGACAAAUAAGUCAGAGGUGAAAUCCUGCAGCUCAACUGUAGAACUGCCUUUGAUACUGUUUGUCUUGAGUUAUUAUGAAGUGGUUAGAAUGUGUAGUGUAGCGGUGAAAUGCAUAGAUAUUACACAGAAUACCGAUUGCGAAGGCAGAUCACUAAUAAUUAACUGACACUGAGGGACGAAAGCGUGGGUAGCGAACAGGAUUAGAUACCCUGGUAGUCCACGCCGUAAACGAUGGUCACUAGCUGUUUGGACUUCGGUCUGAGUGGCUAAGCGAAAGUGAUAAGUGACCCACCUGGGGAGUACGUCG
rnacentral:rRNA from 1 species